rnacentral:tRNA from 1 species
UCCCUGGUAGCUUAGCUGGUAAAGAAUCUGCCUGCAACACAGGAGAACCUGGGUUUGAUUCCUGGGUUGGGAA